AGGUAUUUAUUUUAAUCAAAAUAUUUGACUUCGGCUCAAAAGCUUGUGGUUAAAAUCCACAUCUACCUA
rnacentral:tRNA from 1 species